rnacentral:rRNA from 1 species
GUGCCAGCCGCCGCGGUAAUACCGUCAGCCCGAGUGAUGGCCGAUCUUAUUGGGCCUAAAGCGUCCGUAGCUGGCUGCGCAAGUCCGUCGGGAAAUCCACUCGCCCAACGAGUGGGCGUCCGGCGGAAACCACUCGGCUUGGGGCCGGAGGACUCGAGGGGUACGUCUGGGGUAGGAGUGAAAUCCCGUAAUCCUGGACGGACCGCCGAUGGCGAAAGCACCUCGAGAGGACGGACCCGACAGUGAGGGACGAAAGCCAGGGUCUCGAACCGGAUUAGAUACCCUAGUAGUCC